rnacentral:rRNA from 1 species
AGUGAUCGUUGUGCGUUAGGCUGACGUCUAAGUCUUCUUGACUGGGGUUUGAUGGCCCAGAGCGGGUGUCAGGCCUUUAAGGCGUUCGUUUGGCGUGCAUUGAUUGCUCGAAGAGUCGGGUUGUUUCUGAGUACAACCCAAAGCAGGUGGUAAACUCCAUCUAAGGCUAAAUAUGAGUACGAGUCCGAUAGCGAACAAGUACCGUGAGGGAAAGUUGCAAAGAACUUUGAAGAGAGAGUUCAAGAGUACGUGAAACCGCCCGGAGUGAAGCGGGUGAGCCCACAUGGUUGCCUGUUGGAAUCAAUCGUAUGGUCGGGACACACGGUCAGUUGUCGCAUGUACUGCGAGGUAUGUGGUCAGCUGGUCGUGUGCUUUCUGUCCUCUCGGCUGUGCGAUGUAUUUCUGACUUGCAAUGUGCCACGAGUGGUAGCAUGGUAACUAGAACCGGCUCGAGCAGGUAACACAUUUCUCCCAGUUUGUGGGUGAGUUUGUGUGAGGCUCUUGCUGAUUUAGUUUACUGUGCUACCUAGGACAGCUUGUGCUCAGCUGGAGCGAUUUGUGCCACACGAGAGGGGCACGUAGACUGCUCGGGUGGAUGUGUGUCGUUCGGGACUGCUUUGCAGUGUCGAGUGGCGCAUGUCUGCAUGGCGAGUAGUUGCACUGAUUGUGCAAGUGAAUUGAACGAAUUGCUGUUCGGUGGCCAGUUGGUAACUCACCCGUCCCGUCUUGAAACACGGACCAAGGAGUUCAGCAUGCAGGCGAGUCUGAGGGUGAUGCUAAACCCGAAGGCGAAGUGAAAGCGAAGGCUGCUUCAUGCAGUCGAGAUGUGAUCCGGUGUUUAGCGAGAGCUAACCCGGCGCAACAUCGUCUCGUCGUAACCUUGUGUGGGUGCGGCGAAGAUUGAGUCUGCACGCUGUGACCCGAAAGAUGGUGAACUAUGCCAGAGGAGGACGAAGCCAGAGGAAACUCUGGUGGAGGUCCGAAGCGAUUCUAACGUGCAAAUUGAUCGUCAGACUUUGGUAUAGCGGCGAAAGACUAAUCGAACCAUCUAGUAGCUGGUUCCCUCCGAAGUUUCUCUCAGGAUAGCUGGCACUCGCUUUGAUUUUUACCCGGUAAAGCGAAUGAUUAGAGUGAUUUGGGUUGAAAAGAUCUAAACCUAUUCUCAAACUGUAAAUGGAUGAGUUGUUCGACUCACUUGAUUUGGAGUUGGACUCGACUGUGAAUCUGUGAAGUGCCAAGUGGGCCAUUUUUGGUAAGCAGAACUGGCGCUGUGGGAUGAACCAAACGUUCGGUUAAGGUGCCAAACGGACGAUCAUUUGAAAACACAAAAGG